GGCGCAUUCGUCUAGGGGUCUAGGACGCCGCCCUCUCACGGCGGAAACCCGGGUUCGAAUCCCGGUUGCGCUA
rnacentral:tRNA from 1 species